rnacentral:rRNA from 1 species
UACGCAGGUGGCAAGCGUUGUCCGGAAUUAUUGGGCGUAAAGCGCGCGCAGGCGGUUCUUUAAGUCUGAUGUGAAAGCCCACGGCUCAACCGUGGAGGGUCAUUGGAAACUGGGGAACUUGAGUACAGAAGAGGAAAGCGGAAUUCCACGUGUAGCGGUGAAAUGCGUAGAGAUGUGGAGGAACACCAGUGGCGAAGGCGGCUUACUGGACACAUAUUGACGCUGAGGUGCGAAAGCGUGGGGAGCAAACAGG